rnacentral:rRNA from 1 species
UGGCUCAGGACGAACGCUGGCGGCGUGCUUAACACAUGCAAGUCGAACGGAAAGGCCCUGCUUGCAGGUACUCGAGUGGCGAACGGGUGAGUAACACGUGGGUGAUCUGCCCUGCACUUCGGGAUAAGCUUGGGAAACUGGGUCUAAUACCGGAUAGGAACCAUCUUUAGUGUGGUGGUUGGAAAGCUUUUUCGGUGUAGGAUGAGCUCGCGGCCUAUCAGCUUGUUGGUGGGGUAAUGGCCUACCAAGGCGGCGACGGGUAGCCGGCCUGAGAGGGUGUACGGCCACAUUGGGACUGAGAUACGGCCCAGACUCCUACGGGAGGCAGCAGUGGGGAAUAUUGCACAAUGGGCGCAAGCCUGAUGCAGCGACGCCGCGUGGGGGAUGGAGGCCUUCGGGUUGUAAACUCCUUUCGCUAGGGACGAAGCUUUUUGUGACGGUACCUAGAUAAGAAGCACCGGCUAACUACGUGCCAGCAGCCGCGGUAAUACGUAGGGUGCGAGCGUUGUCCGGAAUUACUGGGCGUAAAGGGCUCGUAGGUGGUUUGUCGCGUCGUCUGUGAAAUUCUGGGGCUUAACUCCGGGCGUGCAGGCGAUACGGGCAUAACUUGAGUGCUGUAGGGGUAACUGGAAUUCCUGGUGUAGCGGUGAAAUGCGCAGAUAUCAGGAGGAACACCGAUGGCGAAGGCAGGUUACUGGGCAGUUACU